rnacentral:misc_RNA from 1 species
GGACCAGCGUGGUUGAGGUCGCCUGAGGCCAGUGAGUAGACGGGAAGAAGCGCCGACGAGAGAUGGUCGCCAGAGAGGGCUCAAGCGCCGGCUCGUGUGAAGGCAGGCUGACGGCGCAUGAAGGUGCGUGUAUAGGAGUCAUUCGCCGAUGGUCGGUGGAGAGGGCGAUCCUGGGCCACAGACUCUUAGAAAGUGAUCGGAAAAAGAGGGAAAGUUCCUCCAUGUGAGAACUUUGUUUCAGAUUUUAAAUCAGAUCCACCAAGGGCUCUACUAUCAUGUGAAAAAUAGAACAAAAGAAGAAAA